AACGAACGCUGGCGGCAUGCCUAACACAUGCAAGUCGAACGAGACCUUCGGGUCUAGUGGCGCACGGGUGCGUAACGCGUGGGAAUCUGCCCUUGGGUUCGGAAUAACAGCGAGAAAUUGCUGCUAAUACCGGAUGAUGACGUAAGUCCAAAGAUUUAUCGCCCAAGGAUGAGCCCGCGUAGGAUUAGCUAGUUGGUGAGGUAAAGGCUCACCAAGGCGACGAUCCUUAGCUGGUCUGAGAGGAUGAUCAGCCACACUGGGACUGAGACACGGCCCAGACUCCUACGGGAGGCAGCAGUGGGGAAUUUUGGACAAUGGGGGCAACCCUGAUCCAGCCAUGCCGCGUGAGUGAAG
rnacentral:rRNA from 1 species